rnacentral:lncRNA from 1 species
GCCGAGGCAGCGCGGCUGGCCGGAAUUAAAAGCACUGUAUUUCCUAUGGGAGCCUGUGUGGUGGAAAGGAUUGUUCUAUUGGUGUUGCACUGAGAAACUUACAAUCAAUUCCAAGAAUUCCUCCAGAAGCCUGAGGCUUGAAAGCACUUGCUGCAGUCAACACCUUAUAAGCCGUCAGAUCUCUGCAAAGUAACCAUAGAUGAAGUGUAUUUACAUUGGAAAGAGAAAACUGUGCUAUGGUCCAUCUUCUUCUGGGAUCAAUGAAGGAUCUCUCAUCCAUUCUCAUGCUUCUGAUACUGUCAAUUCAGGAUUCAGUGAAGUCUCCAAGUGCUACAUAUUCUAUAAACAUAAUGAAUUGCUAUGGAAGACUACAAAGGUGGCUCUCAAGUCCCACACAUAAAAGUAAUUUGUAAGCUUCUUAAUACCACCAUGCUGGGGGUCUUGUCUACAGAAAUAAAGGAAUAAAAUAAGGUGAGGAUUAACAGAUAUUCUUACUCCUUCUUUCAAACGCUUCCCAGCCCUUUUUCAAAAUUGACUGCACAAUAUUAGCAAGUUUAUAUUUUUAUACUUUUUCUUCAUGCCUUCAUUAGCUGUGCAGUUUAUGCCUCUGCUUACCUCUGGAUAGGUGUGCUUUAACUUGCUUUGUUCUCUAUGUCAUAUAGCUUGAGGAAUUUAAAUUACAGCAUGUUCUAUAACUGGUAGAACACCUGUGGGGUUGGGCUGCUUAUUAUUUAAUGUAGGCUUCAUCAGAACUUUUUUA